CUGCCUUGCUAAGGUGUGGCCACCAGCUGAGCUAUUUGGUCUUUGUCUUAUAACUCCCUUUUAGGUGGGAUUUGCCCAUUUUGGUGGUUUUCCUCCCCCCACCAGCUUCUACAUUGUCUCACCUUGGGAUUUAAGGUUCUUUUCCUUCUUUCUGUGUGUCCAUUGGAGUCAGAUCCCUGUGACUGCCAGAUGCAUACUACAGGGAAGCUGCCAGAAGUGAGGCACAGGCCCCAAAGGCUUCUUUGAGGUGCUGUAAUUGUGCAGCAGCAGUGUGCUGUGUGUGCAGCAGGUUGGUUACUUGGCUUUUUCCCCCCACUUAGGUGUCAUUCUUCCUUCAGCAAGCCCUACAGUUUGCUGGUUGAUGUUAGCCAUGCAGCAAAUGGGUGGGAAUGACAGGCAUUCAAGUUGAGGAAACUCUCCAGGAUAUUAGCAAAGCAUGAUUUCAUCCACAGCACUUAACCAAGUGUUCUUGGUUUUAGUCAGAAGCACUGCUGGGCAAAAGGGCACAUUGCCUUUGGUUUCCUGACAUGCUGGCUCUUUCUGAGUGUUCAGCUUGGCAUACAGGGUGAAUGGGCUUGGUGCCUGUUCUGUGUUACUCUGGGAUCCUUUGAGCUGUGGGUUAUGGACUGCAAGGGGGUUUUGUGCUGCUUUGGGGCAGAGGAGAACUUUCUGGGCUGUUCUUUUGCAUUAGCUGUAGGGUAGGUUUGGUUGCCAUGCAUGAACUCACAGAGCAAGCCAGAGCAGCUGCUAUUGUGAUGUCAGCAGAGGGCUGCCAUGUCACAGUGUUGUCAGCAGGAGGUUUUCCUGGUGCCCGCAAGGCCUCAGCGUCCAGAGCAGCUCUUGGCGUGCUCCUUGCAGGAGGAUCACCUCGUCUGAGCUGUUCUCAGAUUACGGCCAGUGUUCCUUUUUCUCUGUAUUUUCUUGCACAGUCCUUGGACUGGUGCAAGUGUCCCGUUUUUCCCCUUUUUACUUGCACAGUCUCAGGACUUGUGCAAGUGUCCCGUUUUUCCCCUUUUUACUUGCACAGUCUCAGGACUUGUGCAAGUGUCCUGUUUUACCCCUUUUUUACUUGCACAGUCUCAGGACUUGUGCAAGUGGGGUUUUUUUUCCAUUUGUGUUUCCUGGCCUACGGACUCGAGCAGCCCUGCUCAAAGGAUGGAGCGAGUCCGUAGAGCAGUCAGCAGCACCUUUUCAUUGGCGGCUUCUCGGAAAGCUUUUCUUCGUUUGGCUGCUCGCCUCAGAGGUGGAAGGAGUCAAGCGCACGCUUCGGUCCCGCUAGGAGAGGAUCUUGCCAGUCAGGACUCCUGGGCCCAGACAGGAAAGGCGGAGCGGCAGGAGAGCACGGACAGAGUGCACGGCGCCCAGGAGUUCAGGUCAGAGAAGGAGAGCCUGCAAAGCAGCCUGCUGGAGGCUGAGCAGCACAUAUGGGAGCUGGAGAUGGCCAGGAGCCGUGUGGAAGCCCAAGUGCACAGGGCCAGGCAGGCCAAGGAGGCGAUACUGGAGGAUGUGAGGGGCCUUCGUUGUGAGCUGCUGGCUGUAAGAGCUCUCAGCCAGCAGCAAUGUGAAGACAUGGCUGAACAGCUCCACUGGGCACAAGAGCAGUGCUGCAAGGCUCUGAGACUCUGGCAAUCUGCCCAGGAAGAGGAAAAAAGGAAUCUCAUGAGAGAACUGGAGAGACAACUGGAAGAGCAGCAUGUGGAGGCACGGAAGCAGCUGGAGGAACGGGCAAACUUCCUGGCAGAGGUGCUGCAGGAAGAGCAGCGUCAGAAGGCUGCUGUCAUCCACAGGGUGUACCAGCUAAAAAGAGAGCUAAAGCAUUGUGAGCAGCUGAGGCAGAAGUUGAAUGAGCAGUGGCAGAAUGAGCAGGUCAUGCUGCAGGCUGAGCUGCAGGAAGCUGAGAGGAAGAUGAUGGCAAUGGAGAAGAGGCACCAAGAGGAAAUGGAAAGGAUGCACAAGGUCCUGCUGCAGUGCAGGCUGGCUGAAGAAAAGCAGGUGGACGCAGGAUCUGCCAUUGAAGCUGCUGGUGCAGCAGCAUCCUGCCAAGAAGCCUCCUCUCCACAGCCUGAAAACCAGAGCAUGAGCAGCUCGGCCCGCUCAAGCCAGGAGAGAGAGAAGCAGUUCCUGAAGCUGCUGAGGUGUGUGGUGAGUGUGGAAGAUCCAGAAAAGAAGUACACUGGAUGGGAACACCUUGGCAGUGGGGGCUUUGGAGCUGUUUAUAAGGCCUUUGACACUGCCACAGGACAAGCGGUGGCUGUAAAGGAACUUUAUCUCCAGCACCAGGGCUGUGAGGGAGUAUUAAAAGAAAUCCUGCUCAUGAGAGAAAAUAAGAACGCCAAUAUUGUCAGCUACUUAGAAAGCUACCUUGUGGAUGAGGCUGUCCUGCUGGUGUUGGAAUAUAUGGAUGGAGGCUCCUUAGCUGAUGUGGUCACCGUGAGAAGGAUGGCUGUAGGACACAUAGCAACAGUGUGUCGGGAGUGCCUGCAAGGCCUGGCUUUCCUUCAUGCCAAGCAGGUGAUCCACAGAGACAUCAAAAGUGACAACAUCCUUCUGGGCCGGGACGGCUCCGUCAAGCUGGCUGAUUUUGGCCUCUGUGCUGUGCUCAGCCCUGAGCACAGGAAACGGAGGUCGAUGGUCGGGACCACUUACUGGAUGGCACCCGAGGUGGUGAGAAGAGAGCCUUACGGCCCCAAAGUGGACACCUGGUCCCUUGGCAUUGCGGGAAUAGAAAUGGCCACAGGAGAGGCUCCUUAUAUGCAGGAGACCAGUGACAAGGCCAGCUACCUGAUAGGCAAGCAAGGGGUUCCAAAUCUGCAGCAGCUCAGGCUACCCCCUGGCUUGUGUGAAUUUCUGGGCUGCUGCCUGCAGAUGGAUGUGGACAGGCGAGGCUCUGCCAAGGAACUUCUGCAGCAUCCAUUUCUGCAAUCAGCGGAGCCUCUCUUAAGCCUCUUCUGACAGCCUGAUUGCUGCCAUCCCUGCAGCAAGGGAAUGCAAGAAGCAAAGGAGAUGACAAGGGUGAGGGAAGGCGUGCGUGGGGACCAAAGCAAGUUUUGCAAGCGACCACUGGACCGAGAAGACAAUGGUUCCUGCCUACGACAUCUGCUGCUGACGACGCCUGUUCCUGAUGGACUACUGAUGGACUCCUUGUACCCUUUAUCAAUAGACUAUUUUGAAAUGGGUCCCCUUCCCCCAUUUCAAAAGGACUAUAAAAAGGUUUAGAGCUGACUGAUACCUUUGAGAUCUCCCCUGACGUGAAGACGACAGGCGUCUUCGUCGACCGGACUUCGAGGGACUUUGUCAUCUGCACGUCUGGUAGCUAUAUACCUCCUUGCCCUCCCUCUCUUCUUUUUCUUUUCCUUACUCUUUCCCCUUUCUUCAUUCCCCUUCUCUCUAACCCAUCUUUUCUAUGACUAUUUAAUAAAAGUACAUGUAUUUUGAUUUUACUGCAAAUCCCCUUGUCGUGUCAGUUUUUGCACCCUGAGAUCAGUGAAAAAGAACCUACACGAAUCACGUCCUUAGGACAGAUCGUGUCAGCUAUGAAGGACAAUACCAGUGUAAUAAAUAGGGCAGGAGAUCUUUCUCCUUUUUAAUGUCUUUAUUUAAAAAAUUCAGCUCACGUUGGGGAGAAAUGACAGGUCACCCGCACCCCCGCUGCUCCCAGGAGUGGCACGGAGGAGGAGGAUGA